rnacentral:misc_RNA from 1 species
CAACUUCCACCUGGCAUACCUCUUCAGUUAUGCAUCAAGGGUUUUAUCWCCUUGAGCGUAUUGUGGGUUUCYUGUGUUGAAUUCCAAUCUGAUGGUAUUGUUUUGGCUAAUGGAAGUCCCUUUUCAUUUUGUGUUGCCUUUGUGAUUCAAGAUGAACCAUGAAGUGGUCUCUAUGUUCCAUUAUGUUGAUGCAAAUGCAUUGAUGUUGUGGCCCAUUGAGAGUUACUAGGUGUCUUGGAUAUGGAACAUUUUGUGGGCAUUGGGUCUUUAAUGGCUCUUCUUUUGUCCUUGUUUAGUGUUCUUCAAAAUGACAGUUCAUGCGUGCUAGGCUUGUACUUGUGCGAUGAUCUAUGUCAAAGAGGAACGCUACCUGGUUGAUCCUGCCAGUAGUCAUAUGCUUGUCUCAAAGAUUAAGCCAUGCAUGUGUAAGU